rnacentral:lncRNA from 1 species
UCAGCAGUUUUCCCAGAUGAUAGGCUGAGCAAAUUUUGGAAGAUCCCCAUAAGAAAGUUCUCGGAUAUAUUUUGAAAGCUGCAGCAUCUCUAUAGGGAUUUGUGCAUUGUUGAUUGUCCUCUCUCCUCAGGUUAGCAGUGGAAACUUGGAUUUUUUGUUGUAAGAAGUUGGAGCUGGGAACUGGAAAGGAGGUGCUGAGGAGGUAACCCAUAGUAGCACACACAGCUCAUGGAGGAAAAUAAACCAGAGCAUUAGCUGCAGCCCGGGUUGAAUCCUUGGAAGGGCGGCUAAAACAAGAAGACCCAUGGCGGGGUGGUUAGCUGGAAACACCUUGAGGCCAGGGCUGAGUGAUGUGGAGAGCCCAGCUGUGAAGAGAUUCAACCCUACCUUCCCAUGUACUGCUCGGUAUGAUCUCAAACAGAUUACUGUAGGUUUUCCUCAGUUGUAAAUGGAUUAAAAUGUUACUUAAUUC